GACGAACGCUGGCGGCGUGCUUAACACAUGCAAGUCGAACGGUGAACCCGGAGCUUGCUCCGGUGGAUUAGUGGCGAACGGGUGAGUAACACGUGAGUAACCUGCCCUUGACUCUGGGAUAACUGCGGGAAACUGUAGCUAAUACCGGAUACGACCCUCGGCGGCAUCGCCAGGGGGUGGAAAGAAUUUCGGUCAAGGAUGGACUCGCGGCCUAUCAGCUAGUUGGUGAGGUAACGGCUCACCAAGGCGACGACGGGUAGCCGGCCUGAGAGGGUGACCGGCCACACUGGGACUGAGACACGGCCCAGACUCCUACGGGAGGCAGCAGUGGGGAAUAUUGCACAAUGGGCGCAAGCCUGAUGCAGCAACGCCGCGUGAGGGAUGACGGCCUUCGGGUUGUAAACCUCUUUUAGUAGGGAAGAAGCGAAAGCGACGGUACCUGCAGAAAAAGCACCGGCUAACUACGUGCCAGCCGCCGCGGUAA
rnacentral:rRNA from 1 species